AGCGAACGCUGGCGGCAGGCUUAACACAUGCAAGUCGAGCGGGCACUUUCGGGUGUCAGCGGCGGACGGGUGAGUAACGCGUGGGAACGUGCCCUCUGGUUCGGAAUAACUCAGGGAAACUUGAGCUAAUACCGGAUACGCCCUUUUGGGGAAAGGCUUGCUGCCGGAGGAUCGGCCCGCGUCUGAUUAGCUAGUUGGUGAGGUAACGGCUCACCAAGGCGACGAUCAGUAGCUGGUCUGAGAGGAUGAUCAGCCACACUGGGACUGAGACACGGCCCAGACUCCUACGGGAGGCAGCAGUGGGGAAUAUUGGACAAUGGGCGCAAGCCUGAUCCAGCCAUACCGCGUGAGUGAUCAAGGCCUUAGGGUUGUAAAGCUCUUUUAUCCGGGACGAUAAUGACGGUACCGGAGGAAUAAGCCCCGGCUAACUUCGUG
rnacentral:rRNA from 1 species